UACGAAGGGGGCUAGCGUUGCUCGGAAUCACUGGGCGUAAAGGGCGCGUAGGCGGCUCAUGAAGGCUGUGGUGAAAGUCCGGGCUCAACCUCGGAUCGGCCGUGGCGACUCGUGGGCUGGAGCACUGUAGAGGCGGGUGGAAUUCCGGGUGUAGCGGUGGAAUGCGUAGAGAUCCGGAAGAACACCAGUGGCGAAGGCGGCCCGCUGGGCAGUGGCUGACGCUGAGGCGCGACAGCGUGGGGAGCAAACGAGG
rnacentral:rRNA from 1 species